CAAUAGCGUAUAUUAUUGAUGUUGCAGUUGAAACGUUCGUAGUCGAACUUUAUCUGCUCCGGCAGCUCUUUCGUCUCAGACGUUGUGCUGGCCUACGGCAGAGAUUGUGCUGCUUCGCUUGCCAUGCUUCAUGGUGGUGUCGCAGCACUGUACUUUGAGUGAAUCGGCGUGUUCCACGCAGGCUAUCGCCUUGAACGAUUUACCAUGGUAUAUCCAGAAUGUGGGAAUACUUCUUUGUCUCUUCGGAGGUAUUUUCGAUAUUCAUAAGAACGGUUGAGGGCAUUCGUAUUCAACUGCCAGAGGUGAAAUUCUUUGAUUAGUUGAGGACGAACUAUUGCGAAAGCAUCUGCCAAGGACGUUUCUUUUGA
rnacentral:rRNA from 1 species